GGCAGCGGGGUAGGAAGCUUGCUUUCUGCCGCCGGCGACCGGCGCACGGGUGAGUAACACGUAUGCAACCUGGCCGUGGCAGAUGGAUAACCGGGAGAAAUCCCGCCUAAUACAACAUAAUGCCGGGAGGGGACAUCCCCUGCCGGCCAAAGGGGGCGACCCCGGUCACGGAUGGGCAUGCGGCGCAUUAGGUAGUUGGUGGGGCAACGGCCCACCAAGCCGACGAUGCGUAGGGGUUCUGAGAGGAAGGUCCCCCACAUUGGAACUGAGACACGGUCCAAACUCCUACGGGAGGCAGCAGUGAGGAAUAUUGGUCAAUGGCCGGAAGGCUGAACCAGCCAAGUCGCGUGAGGGAAUAAGGCCCUACGGGUCGUAAACCUCUUUUGCCAGGGAGCAAUGCCGUCCACGUGUGGACGGAAGGAGAGUACCUGGAGAAAAAGCAUCGGCUAACUCCGUGCCAGCAGCCGCGGUAAUACGGAGGAUGCGAGCGUUAUCCGGAUUUAUUGGGUUUAAAGGGUGCGUAGGCGGCCUGCCAAGUCAGCGGUAAAAUUGCGGGGCUCAACCCCGUACAGCCGUUGAAACUGCCGGGCUCGAGUGGGCGAGAAGUAUGCGGAAUGCGUGGUGUAGCGGUGAAAUGCAUAGAUAUCACGCAGAACCCCGAUUGCGAAGGCAGCAUACCGGCGCCCGACUGACGCUGAGGCACGAAAGCGUGGGUAUCGAACAGGAUUAGAUACCCUGGCAGUCCACGCAGUAAACGAUGAAUACUAAUUGUCCGGUCAGAAUGAUGACUGGGUGAUACAGCGAAAGCGUUAAGUAUUCCACCUGGGGAGUACGCCGGCAACGGUGAAACUCAAA
rnacentral:rRNA from 1 species